GUCUGCCGCCGCCGUCGCCUUCUCCGUCGCGGCCGCUUCCACCUCCCGCCCGCUUGGCUUCUCAGGUCUCUUCCCGCUUUGGUCCGCCCAUGCCGACGGCGUCUCUCUCGCGCUGGCCAAGAGCUUUCCUUGCUUUUGACGAACUCCCAAGUAUGAGAAAAAUAUAGUGCUGCUUGGUCAGAUUUGAACUUAAGAUGAUCUAUUUUUAUUGCUCACGUUUAAGUUUUCUCUUCCAAUCAACAGGUUUAGACCCAGAGAUUGCCUAACAAUGAAGAAAGUGGGAAAUGUUGGAGAGCUCAUGGUUAUGGAAGACUUCAAAGACCUCAACUGUUUCCUCCUGGACUCUGCAUGAUUAGAUAUGUCACUGCUUUGAUUGGCAAACCACCAUUAUUUGAAGGUUGGAUUAUCCCAAGUCUUAAACAACUACAUCAUUAUUAGUCUGAUACUGGUUAGUAGAAGAUGCUGUGUUCAAAAAAGUCAUUCAGGGAACCCAUGGUUCUUCAGUUAGGAGCUCUGCUAACUUCUAUGACAUGAUCCUCUCCUACAUUUAACCUAAAAUGGUGGAAAGUAAGAGUCCAUGUGUCUCUUGUAGGUUUCCAUUAGCUAAGCCUGGAAGUGGUAGAUAUCAUUUCUGCUGACAUUUCAUUUGCACAAUUUGGUCAUAUGAGGUUACCAAACUGCAAGAAUGAUUGGGAAAUGCACUUUGUGUAUGUGUGUGUGUGUGUCCAAAUACAGAAAGAAACUGAGAAUGUUAAAUAUGUAGUAAUCUCUGACUCAGAGUUGACUAACACCUCAUAAACUUUACCAUCUCUGAGUAACUUUAACCUUAACAAAUACUGCGUAUAGUUAGAUUCAGAGAGAUUAAUAGGAGACAUACGUCUCGUCCAUGCUAUAUCUACAAGAGAUUAAUUGUAACUGCUUUUAAAGAAAGAUCAUGUCGAAAAAGAAUAACCGUAUUUAUAUUAAAUUUCAUUUUUGGCAUUUUCUAGCAUUUUCAUGUUUCAUCAGCAUUCGUCUCAUAAAGUUCAUCGUGUUCAUUUGCUUCUUCCACUUUCUGUAAAGCCUCUUCUUCCAGGUUUCACUUCAUCCCUGUCCUGUGAUUCAGAGUCUAGCCCUUUCUUAGCCCUUUGUUUAUGUUCAGGUGCCUCUUUUUAUCAGUAAAUGGGAGAAAUUUUGCAUUUUUCUACUCACAUUGACAUAUUAUGCACAGUGAUUUUGUCUUUCUAAAAGCUGUUUCUGUCUCUUCCAUUUUCUUUCAUUUCUUCUGCCAACAAUUAAUUCUUUACAUUUGCAUAUCCAUUUCAGUCAUUGGUUUUGAAGCUACCAGUUUUGUCAUAAAAAUAAAACUGACUACUUCAUGUUCAUCACGAAGAGUGCAUACACAUACGCAUGCACACACAUAAUUAACACACAUAUGUGCACAAUUGAAUGACAUAAACAUUCUGGGGUCCAAUAUUAGAUAUAUUGUCUCUGAAGUUUUUAUAAUACUUCAUAACACUAACUCAAUAUUUAU